GCGGGUGUAAUUCAGUGGCAGAAUACGAGCUUCCCAAGCUUGUUACGACGGUUCGAUUCCGUUCACCCGCUCCA
rnacentral:tRNA from 1 species